AUGGAUCAGGAGCUGAUUGAGCACCUUGACGCCAAAGUGAGUGCUGACAGCGCGAGAUCUCACCCUCUCAUCGAUUUGUUCAUACCAACCAUCGACAGCGAGCACGGAAUAUGCUACACCCAUCCUGAGAAACUUCCAGGUAUCACACUGAGUGGCCUAAGCAGGCAUUUCUUCCAGCGCAAUUCCAAGGCGUUCAAAAGGGGCACGUGGAUGCGUCGCAAGAUACAGUCGGAGUGCGGCAUGCACGCGAUGUGGCACAAGACCGGCAAUACCUUGCCGAUGAUGGUCAACGGCCGGCAGACGGGCAACAAAAAGGUUCUAGUGCUGCACACCAACAAGAACUUCGACCAGCAGAGGACCAACUGGGUGAUGCACCAGUACCACCUCGGGGACCUGGAGCAAGAGAAGGAGCGGGUGCUGGUCCUCUGCAAGAUUUUAUACCAGACGAGCACUAGGGCCAGGAGUAAAAAGAUUAUAAGUUAG
rnacentral:rRNA from 1 species